CUGGUGACUCCAAACCACCCUUAAUGA
rnacentral:tRNA from 1 species